rnacentral:rRNA from 1 species
GAUGAACGCUGGCGGCGUGCCUAACACAUGCAAGUCGAACGUUACCCUGAUCUUCGGAUUGGGGAAAAGUGGCGAACGGGUGAGUAACACGUUGGUGACCUGCCCCGGAGACGGGAACAACCCUUCGAAAGGAGGGCUAAUACCCGAUGAGCUUGCGCUGUUUAGAAAGGUGCAAGUAAAGUUUCGGCGCUUCGGGAGGGGCCAGCGGCCUAUCAGCUAGUUGGUGAGGUAAUGGCUCACCAAGGCGAAGACGGGUAGGGGGCGUGAGAGCGUGGCCCCCCACAAUGGAACUGAGACACGGUCCAUACUCCUCCGGGAGGCAGCAGUGAGGAAUAUUGCACAAUGGGGGAAACCCUGAUGCAGCAACGCCGCGUGGGUGAUGAAGGCCUUCGGGUCGUAAAACCCUUUUCUAGGGGACGAGAUAGGACGGUACCUUAGGAAUUAGUCCCGGCUAACUACGUGCCAGCCGCCGCUGUAA